rnacentral:rRNA from 1 species
GAGUUUGAUCCUGGCUCAGGACGAACGCUGGCGGCGUGCUUAACACAUGCAAGUCGAACGAGAAUCUACUGAAAGAGUUUUCGGACAAUGGAAGUAGAGGAAAGUGGCGGACGGGUGAGUAACGCGUGAGGAACCUGCCUUGAAGAGGGGGACAACAGUUGGAAACGACUGCUAAUACCGCAUGAAGCAUAGGGGUCGCAUGAUCUUUAUGCCAAAGAUUUAUCGCUUCAAGAUGGCCUCGCGUCUGAUUAGCUAGUUGGCGGGGUAACGGCCCACCAAGGCGACGAUCAGUAGCCGGACUGAGAGGUUGAACGGCCACAUUGGGACUGAGAUACGGCCCAGACUCCUACGGGAGGCAGCAGUGGGGAAUAUUGGGCAAUGGGCGCAAGCCUGACCCAGCAACGCCGCGUGAAGGAAGAAGGCUUUCGGGUUGUAAACUUCUUUUAAGAGGGAAGAGCAGAAGACGGUACCUCUAGAAUAAGCCACGGCUAACUACGUGCCAGCCGCCGCGGUAAUUC